AUUGAACGCUGGCGGCAUGCCUUACACAUGCAAGUCGAACGGCAUCGCGGGAAAGCUUGCUUUCCUGGCGGCGAGUGGCGAGCGGGUGAGUAACACAUCGGAACGUACCGGCUAGUGGGGGAUAACCCGUCGAAAGACGGGCUAAUACCGCAUACGCUCUUCGGAGGAAAGCAGGGGACCUUUGGGCCUUGCGCUAGCCGAGCGGCCGAUGUCCGAUUAGCUAGUUGGUGGGGUAAAGGCCUACCAAGGCGACGAUCGGUAGCGGGUCUGAGAGGACGAUCCGCCACACUGGGACUGAGACACGGCCCAGACUCCUACGGGAGGCAGCAGUGGGGAAUCUUGGACAAUGGGGGCAACCCUGAUCCAGCAAUGCCGCGUGGGUGAAGAAGGCCUUCGGGUUGUAAAGCCCUUUCGGCAGGGAAGAAAUCGGCGGGGCGAAUAACCCUGCUGGAUGACGGUACCUGCAGAAGAAGCACCGGCUAACUACGUG
rnacentral:rRNA from 1 species